GUCCAAGUGGUGAAAUAGGUAGACACGAGGGACUUAAAAUCCCUUGGCCAGUGAUGGCCGUGCGGGUUCGAUUCCCGCCUUGGGCACUA
rnacentral:tRNA from 1 species